rnacentral:rRNA from 1 species
GACGAACGCUGGCGGCGUGCUUAACACAUGCAAGUCGAACGGAAAGGCCCUGCUUUUGUGGGGUGCUCGAGUGGCGAACGGGUGAGUAACACGUGAGUAACCUGCCCUUGACUUUGGGAUAACUUCAGGAAACUGGGGCUAAUACCGGAUAGGAGCUCCUGCUGCAUGGUGGGGGUUGGAAAGUUUCGGCGGUUGGGGAUGGACUCGCGGCUUAUCAGCUUGUUGGUGGGGUAGUGGCUUACCAAGGCUUUGACGGGUAGCCGGCCUGAGGGGGUGACCGGCCAAAUGGGGACUGGAAUACGGCCCAGACCCCUACGGGGGGCAGCAGGGGGGAAUAUUGCACAAGGGGGGGAAGCCUGAUGCAGCAACGCCGGGGGGGGGAUGACGGCCUUGGGGUUUAAAACCGCUCCCGCCUGUGACGAAGCGGGGGUGACGGUAAUGGGGAAAGAAGCACCGGCUAACUACGU